UCCAAUACGGCGGCUUCUCCAUCUUUGUUUCCAAUCAUAUUGAGCUAUAAACCAUUUCCUCCAGCUUGUCACUAUGUCUCCUCCGCCGGGCCCAGAUAACUAACCGCUUCCUGUUUCUUCGCCUCCAAGUUAGUUCCAGUGCAAAUACUUGUAUGACUCUUUCUCCAUAUUGGAGCAACUUUCAUAUCAACAAGCAACCGCAGAAAAUGAUUUGGGUGGGUUAGGUCAUAAACUCUCACAGAUUUAUUUGAAUGCAGCACAGUGGGUUGAGUGGUUCAUUUGUCUAUUCGCAGCCAUGACGUUCUGGGUUCGGGAUAACACGCUGACUGUAGCAAUGUGCAGUUAUAAACGUUGCACUUCCAUUAAUCUGGUGCUAAAGUUUCUUGUAGCGCUUUAAUAAUUUAGCCUGCAUUAGCCUCGAGCCAUGAUGAAUGGCGGCGUUCAUUUUCAUCUGCCAGAGACUUUGAUUCGUUGGCCACCCUGUUUUUUUUGUUUUUUUUAAAGGCACACGUAAUUUUACUAAAUCUGUGGAAUAAAAGUCGUUUGUAAUGAUUGAGAGAAAUACUUGUAGAAGUUGUACCGUUGUUAUCAUUCAGUUAGGUAAAAGUUUUUAACGUAUGGUCUUUUCUUGUUUACUGUGCCCCCACCUGGCCAAAUAUGGCUACUGCAUUUAGAGGCGUGCUCCACUUGAUGGGGUGAAAGGUCAAAAGUAAGAUGGCUGCCUUGGGUCAGUAUGGUGGCACACAAACAGACAACAAUUAUCGUUUCCCCCAAAGUAUUAUUUGGACGUAUUGUUAAGAAUUUACACAUUAUUUCAAGCUUGAACGAUCUGUUAUUCAACUCAACUAUCCAGAAUCCACAACUUGAGUCCUGACUUGAACAAAUGAACUGGCACGUUUACACCCGGUGGUCUCCCGAGGAGAUGUAGCCCAUCGCACGGUUGAUGGUGAUGACUCUGAUGUAGAAGCCUCUCAUCAACUUGAACAUCUCAAGUCGGUUAGUGUAGCUGUCGUCUACCCACAUACGAGACAUGUCCUCCUGAAAACACACAUACCGUUUUUUAGAUUAAACUAAAUUGGGGUAGGAUAUUAAACAUUAACCCUGUCAUGCUGAAAAACAACAUGUCCAAAUACAGUGUUGUCAGAUUGAGUCUGGAUUGUAUUUAAUUAUUUUGUGAUUCAAUUAUUUUAACUCUACAUCAUUUUUAGACAUGAAGACUUAAAGCAAGAAGGAAUAAAAAAUAAAUAAAAAAAAGACCUCUGCAGGGUUCAUCCCUCCAUUGAAUCUCAGGAAACAAUUCUGUGAAAACAAAACAUCAUUUUAGGUCAUUUAUAAGAAGAUAUUAUUUUUCAAUAUUUUCUUACACGACCCGCCAAAACAAACUCGCACCUUCAGGUUUUGAAUAAUUUUCAGGGUCGGGCUCAGAAGAGCCUUUUCUUCUUUGGGGCGUUUCAGAGUCAACUUGAGGUAGGACUCAAUGAGAGCCUCAUAGUGGACAAUGUCCUUCAUGAUGCUCAUGAGACAUUCACUCUGUGAGGAGCAAAAGCAUUGUGUCACUUAUGAUUUUUUUUUUUUUUUUAUCAAGCAUGUUCUUGUCAGAAUUUGAGCUGGAUCUCAUUCGAGUGUGAAAAUAUUGCUAAAAAAGUAGCCAAUAAUUGUACAGUCAAUAAACUAGUUACCUCACUGAAGGGUGUACUUCUUUGAGCCAUGCAGUUGGAAUUCUAUGGCGUAAAAUAAAAAGUGUAGAUGAGAAAAAAAUCCAAUGACCAUAUGUAAAAGAUGGAUAAGUAUAACCCACGUUUAAAAUGUAUACAUUUGUAUUUGUUUAUAUUAUUAUGACAUGUUAGAACAGGGGUGGGCAAACUACGGCCCGCGGGCCACAUCCGGCCCACGGGACCGUUUAAUCCGGCCCGCCAACCCUGAACAAAUUGUAUUAUUAAACUUUUUUUUUUUGUCA